UUUAAUAAAAAACUAUAAAUAUACGUUGUAGACUCAUAAACAUCCGUUGUGUACUUGUGUUCAUUUUUGUGUCGCACUCUGGACUUUCUUGCGUGUUGAAUCAAUGUGUUUUUUUUUGUAUUAAACGACUCGAAAACCCCAAAAUUUGGACCCAGCGAAUUUAUACAAUAUAUAGUGAAAUAUAAACAAGGACAAGUUAAAGGUUGACAGUUUGACUACACAACGUAGUUUUAAUUAAACAAAA